rnacentral:rRNA from 1 species
GUACACGCUGUGACUAGCAUAUCAAUAAGCGGAGGAAAAGAAACUAACAAGGAUUCCCCUAGUAACGGCGAGUGAAGCGGGAAGAGCUCAAAUUUGAAAUCUUAAAGGGUUUCCCUUUACGAAUUGUAGUUUAAAGAAGUGUUUUCUGUUGAGGUCUUGGUAAAAGUUCUUUGGAAUAGGACAUCAUAGAGGGUGAGAAUCCCGUAUUUGACCUUUACUUUCAACUUUGUGAUACACUUUCAAAGAGUCGGAUUGUUUGGGAAUGCAGUCCAAAAUGGGUGGUAAAUUUCAUCUAAAGCUAAAUAUUGGCGAGGGACCGAUAGCGAACAAGUACCGUGAGGGAAAGAUGAAAAGAACUUUGAAAAGAGAGUUAAACAGUACGUGAAAUUGUCAAAAGGGAAGCGUUUGACACCAGUGUUGUUUUUCUGAAAAUCAAUUAAAGAACUGUUUAUGCUAAGUUGUUUAGACUUUAUCAGCUAACUGUUUAGUUUUGAGCUUUUCUUUAAUGCACUUUUCAGUUAACAAGUCAACAUCAAUUUCUUUUGCUGUAAAAAAGCUUGAGGAAGGUGGCUUGAGAUUCGUCUUAAGUGUUUAUAGCCUCUUGCCUAUGCAGUCGGAGAGAUUGAGGUCUGCAGCGUAGAUCCUUCGGGGCUAAAUGCAUUUGUGCUAAGUUAUAGCAUUUUGUAGACAACUUGUUGACCAUGAUUUGUCUUGUAGCUUACUCGCUUAUGUUAUUUUACCUACGCUUAGGAUGUUGAAGAUGUAGCACAUCAU